rnacentral:rRNA from 1 species
GAUGAACGCUGGCGGCGUGCCUAAUACAUGCAAGUCGAGCGAACGGACGAGAAGCUUGCUUCUCUGAUGUUAGCGGCGGACGGGUGAGUAACACGUGGAUAACCUACCUAUAAGACUGGGAUAACUUCGGGAAACCGGAGCUAAUACCGGAUAAUAUUUUGAACCGCAUGGUUCAAAAGUGAAAGACGGUCUUGCUGUCACUUAUAGAUGGAUCCGCGCUGCAUUAGCUAGUUGGUAAGGUAACGGCUUACCAAGGCAACGAUGCAUAGCCGACCUGAGAGGGUGAUCGGCCACACUGGAACUGAGACACGGUCCAGACUCCUACGAGAGGCAGCAGUAGGGAAUCUUCCGCAAUGGGCGAAAGCCUGACGGAGCAACGCCGCGUGAGUGAUGAAGGUCUUCGGAUCGUAAAACUCUGUUAUUAGGGAAGAACAUAUGUGUAAGUAACUGUGCACAUCUUGACGGUACCUAAUCAGAAAGCCACGGCUAACUACGUGCCAGCAGCCGCGGUAAUACGUAGGUGGCAAGCGUUAUCCGGAAUUAUUGGGCGUAAAGCGCGCGUAGGCGGUUUUUUAAGUCUGAUGUGAAAGCCCACGGCUCAACCGUGGAGGGUCAUUGGAAACUGGAAAACUUGAGUGCAGAAGAGGAAAGUGGAAUUCCAUGUGUAGCGGUGAAAUGCGCAGAGAUAUGGAGGAACACCAGUGGCGAAGGCGACUUUCUGGUCUGUAACUGACGCUGAUGUGCGAAAGCGUGGGGAUCAAACAGGAUUAGAUACCCUGGUAGUCCACGCCGUAAACGAUGAGUGCUAAGUGUUAGGGGGUUUCCGCCCCUUAGUGCUGCAGCUAACGCAUUAAGCACUCCGCCUGGGGAGUACGACCGCAAGGUUGAAACUCAAAGGAAUUGACGGGGACCCGCACAAGCGGUGGAGCAUGUGGUUUAAUUCGAAGCAACGCGAAGAACCUUACCAAAUCUUGACAUCCUUUGACAACUCUAGAGAUAGAGCCUUCCCCUUCGGGGGACAAAGUGACAGGUGGUGCAUGGUUGUCGUCAGCUCGUGUCGUGAGAUGUUGGGUUAAGUCCCGCAACGAGCGCAACCCUUAAGCUUAGUUGCCAUCAUUAAGUUGGGCACUCUAAGUUGACUGCCGGUGACAAACCGGAGGAAGGUGGGGAUGACGUCAAAUCAUCAUGCCCCUUAUGAUUUGGGCUACACACGUGCUACAAUGGACAAUACAAAGGGCAGCGAAACCGCGAGGUCAAGCAAAUCCCAUAAAGUUGUUCUCAGUUCGGAUUGUAGUCUGCAACUCGACUACAUGAAGCUGGAAUCGCUAGUAAUCGUAGAUCAGCAUGCUACGGUGAAUACGUUCCCGGGUCU